rnacentral:tRNA from 2 species
GGACGACUAGCUCAGUUGGUAGAGCGUUCGCUUGACGUGCGAAAGGUCGUUGGUUCGAGACCAACGUCGUCCA